rnacentral:rRNA from 1 species
GACGAACGCUGGCGGCGUGCCUAAUACAUGCAAGUCGAGCGGAAGUUGGAGAGCUUGCUCUUCAACUUUAGCGGCGGACGGGUGAGUAACACGUGGGCAACCUGCCCUGCAGAUCGGGAUAACUCCGGGAAACCGGUGCUAAUACCGAAUAGUUUUCGCCACCUCCUGGUGGCGUACGGAAAGACGGUUUCGGCUGUCACUGCAGGAUGGGCCCGCGGCGCAUUAGCUAGUUGGUGGGGUAACGGCCCACCAAGGCAACGAUGCGUAGCCGACCUGAGGGGGUGAGCGGCCACACUGGGCCUGAGGCACGGCCCAGCCUCCUACGGGAGGCAGCAGUAGGGAAUCUUCCGCAAUGGACGAAAGUCUGACGGAGCAACGCCGCGUGAGUGACGAAGGUUUUCGGAUCGUAAAACUCUGUUGUGAGGGAAGAACAAGUACCAACUAACUACUGGUACCUUGACGGUACCUCACCAGAAAGCCACGGCUAACUACGUGCCAGCCGCCGCAGUAA